AUUGAACGCUGGCGGCAGGCCUAACACAUGCAAGUCGAGCGGCAGCGGAAAGUAGCUUGCUACUUUGCCGGCGAGCGGCGGACGGGUGAGUAAUGUCUGGGAAACUGCCUGAUGGAGGGGGAUAACUACUGGAAACGGUAGCUAAUACCGCAUAACGUCGCAAGACCAAAGAGGGGGACCUUCGGGCCUCUUGCCAUCAGAUGUGCCCAGAUGGGAUUAGCUAGUAGGGGGGGUAACGGCUCACCUAGGCGACGAUCCCUAGCUGGUCUGAGAGGAUGACCAGCCACACUGGAACUGAGACACGGUCCAGACUCCUACGGGAGGCAGCAGUGGGGAAUAUUGCACAAUGGGCGCAAGCCUGAUGCAGCCAUGCCGCGUGUAUGAAGAAGGCCUUCGGGUUGUAAAGUACUUUCAGCGGGGAGGAAGGUGUUGAGGUUAAUAACCGCGUCGAUUGACGUUACCCGCAGAAGAAGCACCGGCUAACUCCGUGCCAGCCGCCGCUGUAA
rnacentral:rRNA from 1 species